CAAGUCGAACGAAGUAUGUUUUUCGGAAUGUACUUAGUGGCGGACGGGUGAGUAACGCGUGAAUAAUCUGCCCCAUACAGGGGGAUAGCCUCGGGAAACCGGGAUUAAAACCGCAUGAUGCUUUUUAUCGCAUGGUAGAGAAGUCAAAUCGAAUAAGAGGUAUGGGAUGAGUUCGCGUCUGAUUAGCUGGUUGGCGGGGUAAGAGCCCACCAAGGCGACGAUCAGUAGCCGGCCUGAGAGGGUGACCGGCCACACUGGAACUGGGACACGGUCCAGACUCC
rnacentral:rRNA from 1 species